GAUGAACGCUAGCGGCAGGCCUAACACAUGCAAGUCGAGGGGCAGCACGGUGUAGCAAUACAUUGGUGGCGACCGGCGCACGGGUGCGUAACGCGUAUACAAUUUGCCUUAUACUGGGAGAUAGCCCGGAGAAAUUCGGAUUAAUAUCCCAUAAUAUUUUUUUCACCGCAUGGUGAGAAUCUUAAAGCUACGGCGGUAUAAGAUGAGUAUGCGUCUGAUUAGCUAGUUGGUGAGGUAAUGGCUCACCAAGGCGACGAUCAGUAGGGGGCCUGAGAGGGUUAUCCCCCACACUGGAACUGAGACACGGUCCAGACUCCUACGGGAGGCAGCAGUGAGGAAUAUUGGUCAAUGGAGGCAACUCUGAACCAGCCAUGCCGCGUGUAGGACGAAUGCCCUCUGGGUUGUAAACUACUUUUAUUGGGGAAGAAACCCUCUUACGUGUAAGAGGCUGACGGUACCGGAGGAAUAAGCACCGGCUAACUUCGUGCCAGCAGCCGCGGUAAAG
rnacentral:rRNA from 1 species